UUAGGUAUAAAAAUCCUCAAUUGAAUCAAUGCACAAAGCACUUAAUAAUAUAUACAAGCCACAGGAGAAGUUUAACAUGCAGUGGGGACAAAGAUAACUCAGAUAAGAUAUUGUCACAAAGAGGCUUAUAAGCACAAAGGAGAUAAGAGGUGAAUAAAUAAUUUCAAUACAAUGUAGAAAGUGCUUUGAGGAAAGAAUUAGCAACAAACUCUAGGAAUUUCACAGAAGUAACAUUUAUCUUCCACCAAAAAGAUCAAAAAACACUCUAAGAGAGAAGUAUUGUACCUGGAUAUGGAAAGGUAAGAAGAGAAUUUGCUAUGGCUCAAGACUGUCAGCAGAAACCCACUUCCAUGAAGCAAUGCUGGCGUUUGCCAAUGGGACACCUGCCUGUUGCAGAAAGCCUCAAUGACCCACCUGGAAGAAGGGUGACAGAUCUCAUGAACUCACCAAGACACACUUUGAAGUGGCCCUGAUGUGCUCUGUAGGAUAUGGGCUAUCUCUGUGAAGGAUGGAGCCUUACUGUGGGCAACAGUACCCAUCUGAUAAAGUUACAGAAGGCAUCUCGAUUCACAACAGCCCCCACCAUCCCCCACUGAAUAGCAUGUCGUCUGGCAACAGGAGGCGUUUGAUUAUAUUUGGAUGGCAUGCCUGCAUCAACUCCAGUUGUCCCUGAAUUGGAACUGAUGGGCCUCAUGUGCUUCAUCCAACAGUUUGCCUUCACCCACUCCCCACUCUGAAAUGAACCUUUCUCUGAGAAAACAAGAAACCUACGUGCCAUCCUGGGUGAGAGAUUAACAGGAGCUGCAUCCCAGCAUUGCAUCCCAGACAUGGCAGGCAAGAGCACACUCAGAGGGGUUUCCAACAGCAAGCGGUGCUUCAAGCUUCUCUGGAGAGACUCCCCGAACCAGAGGACACAAAUGUUCUCCCCAGAGUACGAUAGCCCCUCAUCUUAGUUCACAGACAUGGAGUUCUUACUGUGUUCAGUAGAAUGCCCCAAGCUACUGUUUCCUGUAGCAAGUCUCUAUAACCGCCCUCUCCCCAUUUUGACGUAUGUGCUCUGUUAGUCACUGCUGUAGGCAGAAUAGUGACUCCCCAAGGAUGUCCACAUGCUAAUCCUCAGAACCUGUGAAUAUAUUAUAUCCUGUGGGGAGGGGGGAGUUAAGAUUGCAGAUGGAAUUAAGCUGGCUAAUCAGCUGACCUUGAAAAAAAUAGAGAUUAGCCAUCUAGGUUACCCUGUGGCCGCAGUGUAAUCCCAAAUGUCUGAAAUAGGGAAAAGAGAAGCAGAAGAGUCAGAACCAGAGUGGUGGCAUUGUGAGAAACUUGAUCUGCCAUUGUUGGCUUUGAAGAUGGAGGAAGAGGGCAUGAACCAAGGAAUGUGGGCAGUCUCUACAAUCUGGAAAAGGCAUGAAAACAGAUCUUUCCUAGAGAUUCCUUGGUUUUAGGCCAGUAGGACACAUUUGAACUCUAACCUUGAGAACAAGCUGGUUUGGCUCAGUGGAUGGAGCAUCAACCUGUGGACUGAAGGGUCCCAGGUUUGAUUCCAGUCAAGGGAAUGUAUCUCGGAUGCAGGCUCAAUCCCUAGCCCUGGUAAGGGAGCGGAC